CUCACUUCUUGGCUUUUUGGCUAAGAUCAAGUGUAUUAUCUGUUUUUAACAGUUUAAUUAUAUGGUGGGCACCUUGGGCGCUCAGUUGGUUAAGCAUUGCACUCUUGAUUUUAGCUCAGGUCAUGAUUUAGCAGUUUGUGGGUUUGAGCCUUGCAUGGGGCUCUGUGCUGACAGCUCAGA
rnacentral:snRNA from 1 species